rnacentral:lncRNA from 1 species
AUCGUAAUGUUAAAUCCUUUUCUAAAGCUCCAGAGGUUUAGUCAUAAACUCUUUAUCUUGACUUAGGAUCGAGAAGCUUAACUUACACAGAAUUGUUGAAGAGCGAGGGGAGGUGCUAAGGCUGGACUUUAAGGGCCCACCUUUCAUUCCCAGCAAAGAUAUUGUGAACCGCCCUGACCAGGUCGUCUUCAAUAAUCUUCCAACAGUGAGAAUCAAAAAGACCUGGGAAUCCAUCAAUUUAAAGGAUAGGGGCGGCGGGG